CUGCUGACGAGUCCCAAACAGGACGAAACAGCUGUUCAG
rnacentral:hammerhead_ribozyme from 1 species